AACGAACGCUGGCGGCGUGCCUAACACAUGCAAGUCGUACGAGAAAGUCCCCGCAAGGGGAUGAGUAAAGUGGCGCACGGGUGAGUAACGCGUGGGUAACCUACCCUUAAAUUGGGGAUAACUCCGCGAAAGCGGGGCUAAUACCGAAUAAUACCCCGUUUUCCUCGGAAAACGGGGUCAAAGAUGGCCUCUGGGUGCAAGCUAUUGUUUAAGGAUGGGCCCGCGUACCAUUAGCUUGUUGGUAGGGUAAUGGCCUACCAAGGCUGCGAUGGUUAGCUGGUCUGAGAGGAUGGCCAGCCACACUGGAACUGAGACACGGUCCAGACUCCUACGGGAGGCAGCAGUGGGGAAUCUUGCGCAAUGGGGGAAACCCUGACGCAGCAACGCCGCGUGGGUGAUGAAGGCCUUCGGGUCGUAAAGCCCUGUCAAGUGGAAAGAAACGUGACAAUGCUAAUAUCAUUGUCAUUUGACGGUACCACUGGAGGAAGCACCGGCUAACUCCGUGCCAGCAGCCGCGGUAACAC
rnacentral:rRNA from 1 species